GAUGAACGCUGGCGGCGUGCCUAACACAUGCAAGUCGAACGGAGUUUAGCGCUGAUGAAGCUUCGGCAGAUUCUUGUUAAACUUAGUGGCGGACGGGUGAGUAACGCGUGGGUAACCUGCCUCAUACAGGGGGAUAGCAGUUGGAAACGACUGAUAACACCGCAUAAGCGCACAGGAUCGCAUGAUCUAGUGUGAAAAUAUUUAUAGGUAUGAGAUGGACCCGCGUCUGAUUAGCUAGUUGGUGAGGUAACGGCCCACCAAGGCGACGAUCAGUAGCCGGCCUGAGAGGGCGGACGGCCACAUUGGGACUGAGACACGGCCCAAACUCCUACGGGAGGCAGCAGUGGGGGAUAUUGCACAAUGGGCGAAAGCCUGAUGCAGCGACGCCGCGUGAGUGAAGAAGUAUUUCGGUAUGUAAAGCUCUAUCAGCAGGGAAGAAAGACCUCGAAAGAGGGGAUGACG
rnacentral:rRNA from 1 species